CUAGCAGCUUGCGGGUGAUCCCCAGUAACAUCACCUGUGAAUCCUACCAGGCUGUAUACAAUGGUCUUGAGCAGAGUUUGGAAGCAUUGCCACUGGACCUUUCACAGGGCGUGAGAUCAAGCGAGCAGUACCUCCAGGACACAUUCCCACGUUGCUCAGUUCCAGCUUCCUUUGUGUGCAAGGUGACCCCAGUUCAUGUGAAUCUCAUUUGUGAUGCAGCUGAUGGUUCAAAACUUGAACAGAUCCUAUCAGCUGGCAAUUCCUCUGCAGCCCUGUGCAAUUUCACCAUCACAGAACAUGCCUGUUCCUCUGCUGCCUAUCUCACAUCCAGCAACUUGCCCACACUGCUGAACUGCACACUGAAAAGCCAAAACAUAUACCCGGUAGAAGUCUGGAAGCUUUUCUUCC